rnacentral:ncRNA from 1 species
AGUUUUGGUCCUAAACUUGCCCUUGUUUUUUAUCAAAAUUAUACAUGCAAGCCUCCACACACCAGUGAGAAUGCCCAUACACCCCCUAAACAGCGAACCGGAGCGGGUAUCAGGAUACAACACCAACCUUAGCCAAAGACACCUUGCCUGUGCCACACCCACACGGGUUUUCAGCAGUAAUUAACAUUAAAACAUGAGCGUUAAAGCUCGACUUAGUUAUGAUAAACAAGGCCGGUAAAUUUCGUGCCAGCCACCGCGGUUAUACGAAAGACCGAAAACAACGGCCCACGGCGUAAAGCGUGACUGGGGGCACGAAUCAUUAAAGGGGCACAACAACCAAGUUGUAAAACACUACUGCACGUUAGAACCUCAAUAAAACACCUUUAACACACCUCACCUCACGAAAACUAAGAAACAAACUGGGAUUAGAUACCCCACUAUGCUUAGCCCUAAACACAGAUGGCACACAAUACAAUGCUAUCCGCCAGAGAACUACAAGCGAAAAGCUCGAAACUCCAAGGACUUGGCGGUGCUUCAAAUCAACCUAGAGGAGCCUGUCCUAUAAUCGAUACCCCGCGUUUUACCUUACCCCUCCUAGUCAAUCAGCCUAUAUACCGCCGUCGCCAGCCUACCCUGUGAAAGAAACAAAGUGGGCAAAAAAGUCUAUAACUAACACGUCAGGUCAAGGUGUAGCAAACGGAGCGGAAGAGAUGGGCUACAUUUCUUCAAAGAAGAAACACGAAUAGCACACUGAAACACACACUUAAAGGCGGAUUUAGUAGUAAGAUAAAUAAGAACAUUUAUCUUAAACCUGCUCUGAAGCGCGCACACACCGCCCGUCACCCUCAUCACAUGUAACAUAACAAAAAAU